UGAUGGCGACCGGCGCACGGGUGAGUAACGCGUAUGCAACUUACCUAUCAGAGGGGGAUAGCCCGGCGAAAGUCGGAUUAAUACCCCAUAAAACAGGGGUCCCGCAUGGGAAUAUUUGUUAAAGAUUCAUCGCUGAUAGAUAGGCAUGCGUUCCAUUAGGCAGUUGGCGGGGUAACGGCCCACCAAACCGACGAUGGAUAGGGGUUCUGAGAGGAAGGUCCCCCACAUUGGUACUGAGACACGGACCAAACUCCUACGGGAGGCAGCAGUGAGGAAUAUUGGCCAAUGGCCGAGAGGCUGAACCAGCCAAGUCGCGUGAAGGAAGAAGGAUCUAUGGUUUGUAAACUUCUUUUAUAGGGGAAUAAAGUGGAGGACGUGUCCUUUUUUGUAUGUACCCUAUGAAUAAGCAUCGGCUAACUCCGUGCCAGCAGCCGCGGUAAUACGGAGGAUGCGAGCGUUAUCCGGAUUUAUUGGGUUUAAAGGGUGCGUAGGUGGUGAUUUAAGUCAGCGGUGAAAGUUUGUGGCUCAACCAUAAAAUUGCCGUUGAAACUGGGUUACUUGAGUGUGUUUGAGGUAGGCGGAAUGCGUGGUGUAGCGGUGAAAUGCAUAGAUAUCACGCAGAACU
rnacentral:rRNA from 1 species